rnacentral:rRNA from 1 species
GACGAACGCUGGCGGCGUGCUUAACACAUGCAAGUCGAACGGAAAGGCCCUGCUUUUGUGGGGUGCUCGAGUGGCGAACGGGUGAGUAACACGUGAGUAACCUGCCCUUGACUUUGGGAUAACUUCAGGAAACUGGGGCUAAUACCGGAUAGGAGCUCCUGCUGCAUGGUGGGGGUUGGAAAGUUUCGGCGGUUGGGGAUGGACUCGCGGCUUAUCAGCUUGUUGGUGGGGUAGUGGCUUACCAAGGCUUUGACGGGUAGCCGGCCUGAGAGGGUGACCGGCCACAUUGGGACUGAGAUACGGCCCAGCCGCCUACGGGAGGCAGCAGUGGGGAAUAUUGCACAAUGGGCGGAAGCCUGAUGCAGCAACGCCGCGUGCGGGAUGACGGCCUUCGGGUUGUAAACCGCUUUCGCCUGUGACGAAGCGUGAGUGACGGUAAUGGGUAAAGAAGCACCGGCUAACUACGUG